GGAUCUCAUCAUGCUGAAACAUGAGGUGAUGGAGGUGGAUGAAUGACACGACACUGGGCCUCAGGAUCUCAUCAUGCUGAAACAUGAGGUGAUGGAGGUGGAUGAAUGACACGACACUGGGCCUCAGGAUCUCAUCAUGCUGAAACAUGAGGUGAUGGAGGUGGAUGAAUGACACGACACUGGGCCUCAGGAUCUCAUCAUGCUGAAACAUGAGGUGAUGGAGGUGGAUGAAUGACACGACACUGGACCUCAGGAUCUCAUCAUGCUGAAACAUGAGGUGAUGGAGGUGGAUGAAUGACACGACACUGGGCCUCAGGAUCUCAUCAUGCUGAAACAUGAGGUGAUGGAGGUGGAUGAAUGACACGACACUGGGCCUCAGGAUCUCAUCAUGCUGAAACAUGAGGUGAUGGAGGUGGAUGAAUGACACGACACUGGACCUCAGGAUCUCAUCAUGCUGAAACAUGAGGUGAUGGAGGUGGAUGAAUGACACGACACUGGGCCUCAGGAUCUCAUCAUGCUGAAACAUGAGGUGAUGGAGGUGGAUGAAUGACACGACACUGGACCUCAGGAUCUCAUCAUGCUGAAACAUGAGGUGAUGGAGGUGGAUGAAUGACACGACACUGGGCCUCAGGAUCUCAUCAUGCUGAAACAUGAGGUGAUGGAGGUGGAUGAAUGACACGACACUGGGCCUCAGGAUCUCAUCAUGCUGAAACAUGAGGUGAUGGAGGUGGAUGAAUGUCACGACACUGGGCCUCAGGAUCUCAUCAUGCUGAAACAUGAGGUGAUGGAGGUGGAUGAAUGACACGACACUGGGCCUCAGGAUCUCAUCAUGCUGAAACAUGAGGUGAUGGAGGUGGAUGAAUGUCACGACAAUGGGCCUCAGGAUCUCGUCACGGUAUCUCUGUGCAUUCAA